CACGUCGUGCAACAAAGCAAAAUUUAGUGGUUAUUAUAUGAUCUACAAUAUGAAAUGUCACUUUAUCGGCUUCUAUUAAAUUAGAAUAUGAAUAUUCUACGACGAAGCACGUGAAUGCCAGUUAGACUGCUGUUGCCAACACGUGCGCGAAAACAUGUGUCCGUACUACUACUUUGGACGUCUAUACACGUACGACAGUUACUGACUGACUCAUCUUGGCAAAGAUGUAGCGUCAUGCAUUGCGUUUCUUUCGCGCUUUCUUUUUGUUGAUGUAUGAUAUAUUGAAUAUUUUGUGAUAUAUAAACUUUUAUUAUUAUGAGUUACUAUUUUUCUAAUAAAUGAUCUUUAUCUCGAAGGCAUUGUCUAUUCAAUUUUUUUCACCAGAAUUGAGGAUAGAACCUAAAUUACCCCUAUUAUACGUCAGUAGGUGAGGAAACGUGGUUGGAAGAUGGUUGGAGUGGAAUAAAAAGUGAGAAUAAAAGAGAAAAGGGCUUCGAGGAUUGCAUCGAACAGAAUGAAACUGCGAGAGACAGAUUGAUCAUAAAAUUAAUUACUCAACUUGCAAAAAAAGGACUGAAAUCACCAUAUUACAUCUUUACAUUCAAUGCAAUAUAAAAUAUGAAAUUAUACAAUUGGAUAUCCAUAUAUUUAUCACAUGUUUAUCAUCACAUCUAUCAUUAUAAAUGCAAAGAUUUUUCAAAUGGAAACAAACAUUCAGAUUGAACUGAUUGCUUUUGCUUUUUUUGAAAUAUGUUAUGAUUGAACAAUUUAAAAAAUAACAAUAAAUAUUCAAUUUAUUAUUCAAAAUAUAAAUAUUCAAUCGAAUAUUGAAAAACGCUUAUGUUAGAAGCAUUGUGCUAAAAUCUAAAAUACGACAAAAUCUUGAGUAAACUGAAAAAGAUGUCUUAUCUUUCGCAACUUUCGAAGAGGAUCAAAAUGAACAGAAACAUGGUUCUCUACUAAAAUGAUUGAUGAUCAAAUGGGAGAAGAAAAGAAGCAGCUCGAUUUUAUAUCAUUUACAAAACAGUUUUGUGAAGUUUUGUGAAGUUUCGAAAGAAAUUUCAGACAUUAAAAAAUUUAUCAUUACGGUA